rnacentral:lncRNA from 1 species
UACCCUGCAACUCUCCAGCUGGACCUGUCAAUUCUUCUUCUACGCGUCUGGCCUCCAUGGCAUGUCUUGCUGUGGGUUGCUUCUUCUUCCCUAUUAUCUUCCUAUGAGCUAGAACCUUCUUCUUUUUCUCUUUUUUAUGUGGAGGAUCUGUUGCUUCUUUCCCUUUGUUCAAAACCGUGUCUGUUGGGGCUGCUGCUCUUUUCCUUUUUGCCAAAUCUGGAUAUGGUGCCCCGCCUCCUGGUGCUGCUGGUGGUGGUGGUGGUGCUGCUCCUUGUGGUGCAUCUGU